UCUGGACACAGCCCCGAACACCUUCCUGGGGUAUUCGUUACCUCACUGCAUAACUCUCCACCGCCUGACCUGAUCCUGCUCCACAACAGCCGGGGUUUUCAUCCUCCUCCUCCCUCAGCAGGCUGUGAGACCCAUUUGUAUCCCCAGGAACGGGCCCAUCCACCAGCACAGUCAUGGAAACAACGCCCCGUAAGCAAAUCCCAGGCGAUAUUCGUAGGAAAACAGCCAUGCAGUCUGUGAGCCUUUUGCACUGAAGAUCUGACCUUGAAGGGUUCUGGGGAGGAAGGCAGCCCAGCCAAACCAGCGGUAAACAACCCACUGCAGGCUGAAAUUGCUGGCAGGGGCUGUGGGGGAACUAUUUUUCGCAUUAAUAAAAUAAUAAUAAUAAUAAAAAAAAAAAAACAGAGAGAAACCAGAACAUCCUAACCCUCAAAGGCUGCUUGCAAGGACGGCAGGAGAAGUGAUAGUCACCGAAUCAGAUAUUCCUUAUGAACUGUCUGCUCGGCUGCGGUAUCUAAAGAUUAUCACUUAAAACAAUAUGUCCAGCUGUUGUACAAAGCAUCCGCGGCGUAGGGCUGAGGAAUGGCAGGAGCUGCGCCGAGGCGGCACACUGCGAGAGCAGUCAAGGGAACAGAGGAACUCUCCGGCAAGCGGGGAGGAUGCUGCAGUCUGCAGAACGUGCUCUCCUGGCGACGAUCUGCGUUCAGCAGGGCUCUAGCUCUCCGUAAGGACCACAGGAACCGGUGGCAUUGCCACCGAGACGGGGACAGGUCCUCCACCCGGCCCCAACGCUGCUGGCAUCUGCAUUUGGGCACCAGCAUCUUCGCAGGGGGCUGGCGCGGAGGGAGCCCCCGGCACCCUUCAGCGGCCGCAGCGGCUCAGGGAAAUUAGCGGGCACCGUAAUUAUAACUAUCGGGAGCAGCUAAGACAAGUUAAAUACCAGCUACCUAGGGAGAAAUUAUUAUGCCAGCCAGGAGGAUCCAAAUGCCAGAAUCCGUGGCUGUAAUUUCAGUGAGUUGCCAAUUACAGCUCCGACACGCCGCGAGCUCUACCUUGGAGACGGCAGGUAUAUAUUUAGCUGCUCCAGAAAACUUUUUGGGGGAGGAGGAGGAGGAGGAAGGGGGCAGCGAUGGAGCAAGUCCCCGGUAAUCUGCUCCUCGCUAAUCCCCACGCUUCUCGCAUUGGCACACAGAACGCCGCAGCCUCUUCCCACUUCCCGGCGAGGAUUUAGCAGCAGCGAGUUCACAACCCCCAUUAACAGGUAGGGAAACUGAGGACCAGGCCCACGUGUGACAACAACAGGGAAAACGGGCCAAAAAAUCUGAUUUCCUGACUGCCCAGCCCUGUGCCAAGAGCCCGCGGUCCUGCUGCCUGCUCCUGCUGGCUGUAUUUUCCCGAGGCCUCGUCAUGUGCUGAGAGAUAGACUGCGGUCGAUUAUUAGCCAAAAAAAAAAAAAAAAAAGCAUUGUCAGAAAUAAUUAAAACUAUAAUUGCAAAAAUAAAUGGAAGAACAGCAUCUCAUGAUGUUUUAUUCGGGCUUUUUAUUUUUAAUUGGAAUUGUUCUCACGCUCGCUAAUUGACCAAACGCAGCGAGUCGCGGAGCCCUCGAUGCGAAUUAGCAGAGCGGCCCUGUUCUGCCGGUCCCCCUCAUGGACAAACAACGGGAGAGAGGCCGGGAGCCUGCCAGCACGGAGUGGGGUGCAGAGGGGAUUUCACUUGAAAGCCCGCCUUAAAUAUAAGAAAAAAGCAUCCCUAUUAUUUUGCCUAGGGAGAAGGCCAGGUAAAGAUGCCUGAUGUUUCUCCUAUAAUCUCAUCUCCACCUCUGGGAAACAGCUGCCAGCAGCUCCACCCUACAGACGGGGAAACUGAGGCAGGGAGCAGCCAGGGAGCCUCCUCCAGUCCUGGCAUCCCUGCGACGGCAGCUGAGGAGAAAACCCAGGCACCCUGCCUCACUUCCUCCCCCCAGGCGCCCAUACGCGCUGCCUUUGCCUUAAAAGAAAUAAAGUGCCAAUAUUUCUUAAAUACAGAUAAAACCAUAAAGCCUUGAAAUUUCGAGCAGCUGUUGUUUUACGUCUUUAUGAACUGUGCUGAUGCUUGUUAUAAAAGGUCGCUUUGCUGGCGGCACAGCGGUACGACCCGCUUCACGAUACAUCCCCGCUUUUACACCACUUGAACAUUUGCCACCGCAGCGGCACCGCCUGCGGUUCAGGCGCUGCCUGGCUCGCUUCUGCACUCAGGCUCAAACCCCGUGAUGCAGGAGAUGCUCCCAGACCAGGUAAAAGACCAGGCAAGGUUUCUAGCUGGUCUCAGCCCCUUGGGAUUGCUGCACGUGCUGGGGACCUGCCCGUGACACCCCCAUACCACCCUAGGGGACAGAUGCCCACGCCCCUUAGCUCACGGGGCUCCAAGCAGCGCCGUAGCAAGCUGACACUCGGCAGCACUCCUCCAAAAA